CCUACGGGAGGCAGCAGUGGGGAAUUUUGGACAAUGGGCGAAAGCCUGAUCCAGCCAUGCCGCGUGAGUGAAGAAGGCCUUCGGGUUGUAAAGCUCUUUCGGCCGGGACGAAAUCGCACGAGUGAAUAUCGCGUGUGGAUGACGGUACCGGCAGAAGAAGGACCGGCUAACUACGUGCCAGCAGCCGCGGUAAUACGUAGGGUCCGAGCGUUAAUCGGAAUUACUGGGCGUAAAGCGUGCGCAGGUGGUUUUGUAAGCCAGAUGUGAAAGCCCCGGGCUUAACCUGGGAACUGCAUUUGGGACUGCAAGGCUAGAGUACGGCAGAGGGGGGUAGAAUUCCUGGUGUAGCAGUGAAAUGCGUAGAUAUCAGGAGGAAUACCGAUGGCGAAGGCAGCCCCCUGGGUCGAUACUGACGCUCAUGCACGAAAGCGUGGGGAGCAAACAGGAUUAGAUACCCUGGUAGUCCACGCCCUAAACGAUGUCAACUAGUUGUUGGGGGCCUUACCGCCCUUAGUAACGCAGCUAACGCGUGAAGUUGACCGCCUGGGGAGUACGUCGCAGAUAACUACAAGAAGUAGAGCGNGAGAGNGCGAGACGACGACGAGGGAGAGG
rnacentral:rRNA from 1 species